UACGGAAAAAGUAAAGCUUAAAAAAGAAAAGCGAAAGAGCGGGGGAGCAGAGAAGGGGAAGGAUAAAAAGGUCGCCGCCUAUGGAGCCAACCACCAGUCCGCAGGUCGCGAGAGGGUAGUCAACGCGGCGGCGUAGAGGGCCGGCUCCAAAGAAUGGAACUGGUACACGUGAGACCCAACUUAAUAGAAGGACUGUCGUUCGGAUCUUAAGACCAUACCUCUCCAUUGUUUCAAUUCCUAAAGAGCCUUAAUGUAUUCUCGUUGUCAGCAAGCAUACCGUUCUCCGGCAACUUCGCAAAUAGUGGUAGUCAAAUGCGUGUCUUCAGAACACUUUUCAAAAGUACAAGUCAUUGUUCACCACGUCGAUGGAUAUCAUAGGGGAAACGGUUAUUCUAAAGUUGUAGUCUUCAAGUACGAGGUCGACAACUAUUACAGAGAAAACGGACAUUUCAACUUUGCCGAAUACGAAGUGCCAAACCUUUACUCUUCUGGCCAAGUCUCUUUUUACAGUCGCGCGCAGCGAUAUCCCCACUCGCCGUACGUACCAAGCGAUUUUACGUGGUUAGAACUCGAACCUGGAGCAAUAGUGCGACUACCCGUCAUGCAGUCACGUCUCUAAAACAGUUUGAUUUGAGGUACCGUUCAACGUAAAAGGAAAGAAUCUGCUAACGAAGGUACUCUACCAAUGGAUGAUUACUUGUCUGUCAAGACAAAGGAGUUCAACAAUUAGCUCGCGGCUCCGGUCCUCGUCUUCUCAUGGUACCACUAGUCGAAGUCAACGGGCCGUUCAUCAUCUUUUGACUGUACCAAAAACCGGAAUGACAAGUAUUACCGAGCUCAGAUACCGGUCAGAUGAAGACCCAAGUAUUCGUAGCUAACACCUUUGUCAUUGUGGAUGUUGCUGUAGUGUUGUCCUUAUGUCAUGGUCAGUCUGCAACCUAAACAGCUCCCGCCAAACUCGAUGUUGUAAAGUCGCCUCCGAGGACACCGCUUACUCGUUGUUUUUUGGGACUCCUCGAAGGGACUUCCUAGUGCUUUAACGAUACGCGACGGUAGGUCGUAACCAUUCUUCAUAGACAACUCCCGGUGUAAAUGAAUGGCGUUGAUACUACCCAACUUGUCCUGAUACCUGCCCAGUGGCAAAGACAAACCCGAUGUAUAGCCGCAGUUAAAGACCCUCUGCCACUUGAACUGCUUAACCUUACUAGGCGAUUACUUCCUCCACGAGUGGCAACGAGGCCCGCUGAGGCACAGCCAGACAGACUAUUUGAAGCCAUGUCCCUGAGGUAAGCACAGAAGCAACCUCGACUCCGGUGACGUUCUACGCUACAUGGGAAAACACUUAAGAAGCCACAGUUAGUCGAUGAAAUUUGCCAAGUCUAAACCAUUGUAGUGACUGGUAUAGUGUUCAGUUAAUGUACUUUCUUCAGUUCUUCGUGAUGUUAAACCGUGCUUAUUUCUCUCAUAAGGACCUUUCCAAACUGAACGCUGAUGGGAUUCUCGUUGGUCUUAGGUUCUUAACAACGUCAUUUAGACAGAUGGUCGCCUGACUUUCCACCUAAAAGGCAUAGCAAGUACUUGUACAGUAGUGACCUUUUGAACCUAAAUAGAAUGUUGUUAAACUGCCCUCGUUAAGGUCUGAUGGCUUAUGCCAGUGAGUCUCAGGAGUUGAACAGUUUAUUGGUCCUGGUUAGGGACUAAAACAAGAAGUUCCAAAAGUCCGGCCAGACGAACUGAAUUCUAAUCUUCCGUUAGGGUAUACGAGUUUUGAGUUUCUAUGUAUGACGAGUUUAUUCUUCUUGUGCUACGUAUAAUACGAUUGGCGUCACUAUCAAGGACACCAUCACCAUAGGGAGGAUCAUCACUACACGUAUGAGACCUUCAAUACGACCUUUCGCUUUAGUCCUCUGGUACUCCUAAUACGAUACAUACUUCUCCUUUGAGGUGAUGUAUAACUAUAGUCCGCCAAGUGUAUGCGUCUCGACUUCGAUUAUUGUUCACUGAAGGUUAGUUAGUAACCUUUUCCUCCAAAGCCAUAUCAAAUAGUACCGUGUGAUCUUUUACCACUACUUCAUCGACACUUCCACGAAUACCUCUGUAGUUAUCGUCUCCGUUGUCUGAAGGAGGGACUCCACGUUUGGAACAGGUUUCAAAUAGUGUUCUUGGAACACUGAAAUGUUCCUAUAACGGUCUUGUUCUUCACGGAUCGUGAGCAAAUACUAAAGUACGGGUCUCCUUUAGAAGUUGUCGAAAAUUCUCCUCCUCUGCUGAUAUCAAACUUAACCCUUGUUGCUGAAGUAUAACGUGACCUACGACGUGUUCCUGACCUCAUAGAUGUACUCAAUACGUGGGGUAGUUAUCACGUGUCUCUACACUUCUGGGGUUUGUAGGAAGACCUGUUCUUAGAUCACCCCCAUUAUAGACUAAAACCCGAAAGUGCCCGAAAAUUACUACGAGUGUGUGUGUAUAGAUGACAACGACGACCGUGAGAACCGAUGGAGCUGGGACUCAUGGUACGUUGAAAGGUCGAGUGUCAGUUCUGUCUGCAAAUGUCGAAGCCGUAGCACGAGAACCUCUUGUAGUGGCCGGUUGGGGGUCAUAAAUACCUGGGAGUUUGACAGGUGGAUGGUUUAACCCACGCCGUUUUCUAUCGAUUGCUGUCGUAAGUGCUGCAACAUCUGUUCUUUGACGACCUAGACAUGCUACGGCCAAGGGACGUCUCACAUCACCUGGAACGGUACUUGACGCACCCCUUACGUCGGUAGCUGUCCGGCUGGUACUGGCUCCAACGAACUUCCGAAUUUCACACCAACGGUCGCCGAAGACCCUGGGGAGCUGCAUGCAUGAGGUACCUAUCACUUUAAGGUUCCGUUAAGGUCGACUACUAAAGUCCUCGUGCAUUGCUCCCCUCGAGAAAGGUCAGACCGAUAUGGUUACCCUACAGUGUUUACUCGGAGAAAAGACCUGCAACUUUCCCUUUGCGGAUGACACAAUAACAAAAUAUAUGAACGAAUCUAUUACAAACCAUUAAACGAAAUGACGUAGCAGUAACUGACAGAGCGUUUAGCCUUAAGUCAUGAACAUAGUAAAAGUCAAACAUUGCUUUAAGUCAUUGAAGGGUCGUUUUUUUUUUUCUUUGAGCCAUUAUCCUUG
rnacentral:rRNA from 1 species